rnacentral:misc_RNA from 1 species
AGGAGGAGGGAUGAAUUGGUACGAAUAUGGCAAUCCCUCUUUCACUCGAUAACCCCAAUUUUGCCUGAAUUGAGACAUGAUGAUAGCGAAUUGUUAUGCGACGGCAAAAUAACCAAGAGGUAGAAAUCUACAAAGCCUGACACUUUUUAUUUGAUAUAAUGUUCUUGGGAGUUAAGUUCUUACAAGUGUCUACAACUUCCAAAAACACCA